UUGGGGCUGGCACGGGGGGGCUUUGCUGCGGGUGUUUGCUCUGUCCUGUGGGCACAGCAGGAAGGGGGUGCCAGGCCCCGGCUGGUGCAGCCCCUCGGUGUCUCCGGUGUCCCUGCAGGAUGCCGAGCCUUCGGCAGCUGAUGCCGGCCGUGGAGCAGUGCCACGGCGGCGGGCACAGCAGCUCCAGUGCAUUCUCUCCGGUGGCACGGGAGGCAUGCAGAGCUCCUGGCACUCGGGAGCAUGGACGUGGCCCCCGCUCCCAGCAGUGGUGCCGCUCGGUGUCGGCCUCGCUCGGGCACUGCCAGUCCCCACCAUAAAUCCUGGGCCUGUCUCAGGUUCCUGCGCUGGAAUUUUGUCCCGCUGUGCCCGUCCCUGGCCUUGGCUGAGCGCCUCAUGCCAUGGGGUGGGAAGAUGAUGCUGCAGACCCUCGAGGCGCGGUAGCCCAGUGCUAAAAUCAGCUGUGCCACAUCCCAGCCAUGGAGCAAAGGGCUGCACAGCCCUCGUGCUGCCAGAGCCUUCUCCCAGAGCUGCCGGGUGCAUCCCUCCUUACGGCAAAGCUGCAGCCCCUUUCUCCCCCAAACCCUCUCUGCACCGGGAUGGUCCCUGCUCCAAACCGAGCCCGGGUGCCUUCCCGUCACCCACGGUAGGGCUGGAUGCUGCCUGGAUGCGUCCUACUGUGCUGGAGGUUCCCUGAGGAAUAUUUUUCCCUUCCCUAAGGACUGCAGCAGCGGGGCCAGACCGUGUAAACACUGCGAGUAUCAUCUGAUAGCGGCGGCACUUGGGCUGGAGCUGCUGGGGAACAGUUGCGUUGCCAAUAUAUUAAAUAAUUCCCUGUGUAAUGUAUGCCCAGGUUAUUGCGGAAUUCAUUUUACAAUAAGAGCACUGGGAUGCACUUUAUUAAUCAUUCUGUCUAACAACCUGCACUCCACAGUUUCGGUUUGAUUUGAUUCAAUCCUGUCUUUCUGCAAAAUAUAUGGCUGAGUGGGUCGGAUAAUGUAUGGCUUAAUUUAGAGUUGUAUGGGUUUGAAUUACCAUUUUCAUAAUGUGCUGUGCAUUAAUGUGUUGCAUCAUUUAUACAGAAAAAUGUGCAAGGUUUCAAACCUCUCCAGGAGGCAAAAGUCACCUAAAGGGAACGCGGAGAGACAAAAAAAGACCUUUACAAAUCCAGCUGGGGCUGGGAGGACACCGGUGGGUGUCGGACGUGGGGAGAGCAGAGUUGGGGCUGUGCUGGUGGCUCCUUCCUUCCCCAGCUGGCCCCGAGCUGCCGGGGACCUGCAGCACUUGACUCGCCGGUGACCCCGGUGCCGGCGCUUGCCGAAGUCGCGCCCACCGUCACUCACCCCGCGCAGGGAGGAAAAAGCUCUGAUUAUCCAAAUACAGUCAUUAAAGGGGAAAUGUGUUUUUAGGACUGUCAGAGUGAUUAAUGAGGGAUAGCAAUCCUCGCAAAUGCACUUGUUUAGUCUAACUGGCAGCCUCUCCUUUCCUAUUGAUUUAUGGUGGCAGUUGCAGGGCCGUGGCGUGUGUGGAAGGAGCGGGGCUGCACCGGGGCUGCCGGGCACGGCGAGGGGCCCGGCCGAGCGGCACGGCACGCUCAGCCGUGCCGGAGGCAGCUGAACAAAGGCAACAUUAUACCCUGUGCCGGGGAAGGAAUGACUUGGACGCACACGCCGAGCCGCUCCGCGUGCCUUAUAAAUAUCCCCGUCUGUAGAGCCCGAAGCCCAGCUGACCACAGCCACGCUGUCCGCCCAAUAAAUACGUGAAUGAAAGAGACAGGCCCUAUUUUUUCUUGUUGUUUUCCUUCCUCCUCUGCACAAAAAUCCCCGAUGUCUUUUAGGUGAUGCAGAGGUGGCUGCCCGCAGACGUACAAGGCGUUUCAGAGUCCAGAGUGGAGCGCGGCGUCCUCGAGGGCUGGAGCCUGCCCAGGGGUCAGGUCGGGAUGCAGAGGCAUGGGCCAAAGCAGAGUCAUGGUGGGUGGAUGAGAAGUUCCUCAGCCACAUAAAGCAGCUUUUCUUUCCACGUGAGCACUGCUGGAAACCACGGAGAACACGGGCUCUGUUUGUCCUCAAAGCCAGAGUGGUGUGAACAUCUCCUGUCCCCCCACCAGCACCCCCGUGCCCAGCCUGGGGUCAGGGCGUUGCUUUGAGGCACGCUUGGUGCUGCAUGAGCUGAGAGCAGACCUGGAGGGACAAAGCCGUGCUUGGAGGUGGCAUCAGAGGUCCUGUGCCAGGCUGUGAGCUGGAGCCCUGCCGGAGGAGCAGCUGGAGCAGCGGGGUGACGCGGCGGUGACACGGCGGUGACACCGAGUUGUGUGCGUGGAGCUGUGUGUGCCCAGCAGAGCCCCACACUGCCCUGGUGGGGGUUCACCUCCAGCCACUCCAAGCAGUGGGACAGCACAAGCGACAAGAGGCUGGACGAGGUGAGUGGAGAAGGACAAAGAUCUCAAGGUGCCAGGGCCAGAAGAGUGUGGGCAAGCACCUGGGGCACUGCAGCGGCCAGGAAUGCCACGAAUAGGAGUGGACAUUGCUCUGGAUAACGCCUGAAGAGCUGCUGCUGCCUCUGCCCUGGCCAUGGGUUGGUGUGUGGUGCAAAUCCUGCAGCAGCUCCGCUUCCAGCUUUGGCAGCGAUACGCCGACACGUUCCUCACCAGACCAGGACACCCAGCCUCAGCUGGUCACCAGUGACCCGGUGUGACCAUGGCCAUGGUUUCCCUCUUGUGCAGAGUCUGGUCAGCGUGACAGUCCAGCACAGGGCCCUGGCAGGUGACAAAGCCCUGGGGUUUCCUUGCACAGGUUGACACCGGAGUUGUGGCAGCGAUCCUGCUCCUUCCUGCAGGCCGGGUGACAGUCACCCCUCUGUUUAUUGCGGUGACAAACGGAGGAGUGCUGAUCCUCACACACCAACACUUCAGCUGGACCUCCCCGGAGAGCAGGGGAGGGUGCUCUGCUGGCAGCUCCGUGCACACAGCAGGCUCCUGGAGCUUGAGUCACAAUAACAAAGAUUUACACAAACCCUUGGGUUUUCUGAGGGUGUUCGUGGAAACCUCCGGGAGCAGCUUCAUGGGACUUCAUGGGACUUCAUCCCAUCUUCCAGCGUGGUGCAGGGAGGCAGGACAGAGGAUGUGACCCGCAGGGGAGGUGCCUUUGCCAUAGGUGACAGUGGAAUGCUGACCCUGUGCUAUCAGAGCUGGCCCCGACAGGCUGAGCAGAGCUGGACAGGACACCCGACACUGUGCGGGGUGCAACGUGACCUUUGCCAACACCCUGUGGUCCCAACAUUCAUGGAUCACCCCUCCUGGCCUGGCAAAAUUUGGAAGGAGGUGAAAGAUGCAGCAUCCUGGGCAUCUGGUGGCUUCUGGGGCUUGAUGGACCCUUCCUGCAGACACCUCAGUGGAACAGAGAACCGAAAUGGCCUUUUUUGUGUUCCCUACAGCUGCAAAGGGCGGCUCCCCAGCAGCACUCGGGACUGUGCUGGUGCCCACCACAGCACCCCUGCAUCUCCACUGGUGCAUCCGUGGCAGAGGGAGAAGCUGCUGCACCAAAGGCGACGGGAGCAGUGGGAGUCUCAGGUCCUGGUGCCACCUCUCCAUGAGCGGCAUGGCUGGGGGCUCCGAGGGAGAAGGACAGGACAGAGAUGGGGACUGUUGAAGAUCUUCCUUGCUGAGCACUCACUGUCUUCUCUGCACUUCCCAGAGGGAGGAGAGGGCAGAGUGAAGCACCAAAAGGUUUGCUGUAUUUUCCUCUCUGGAUGAGAAGGAUGGGGCUGCUCAUCGCCGAGGAUGGUGUCCAGGUCUGGAGCCCUGAUCUGGGCAGGGCUCCUCUGAAAGGGACUCCUGCCUUCUGCUGGAGCAGUGUUGCCUCUGUGGGGUUUUGUUCCCGUUCCCUGCACAGUCCCAGUAACAUCCAAGGGGCUGGAGAAGGACAGUCCCCCUCGGAGGUGAGAAGAGCCAUGUUCUGGGCAAAAUGGAGAUGGAGCCAAAAGCCCUUCCUUCCUUCUGGGCUUCUCACAGUCUCUGGGACUCUGGUUGGGUUUUCUUUGGGAACAACUGGGAUGGAUGGAUGGAUGGAGCUGGCUGGGUGCCUGCUCCUCUGGCUGCAGGGACAUGCUCUGUCCCCAUGGCUGCUGCUCCUCGAUAAUUCUCCAGCUCUUCCAAGUUGCUGUGCUGGCACAGAAAUCCUGCAGCACUGGGGCAGCUCGGGGGGGUCCUACCUGGGGACCACCCCAAGGGGAGCACCAGGAUUCGGCAGCUCUCACCUGCUUUUGGGAUGUCCCGGUGUGGGGCAGACCCUGAGCCCUCCUGGCUGUGGGGGAACCCCUUGGGGCAUGGGACUGUCCUGCUGGGUUUGGGGACUGUCCUGCUGGGUCUGAGGACUGGCUCUGAGCACUGGAGGCGUGCACAGCACCCACCCACAUGCUGCAGGUGAGUUCGGGGGAGAUGGGGGCCAGGGCAGGGCUGGGACACUCUGUGCCAGCAGGGCACAGGGACAGCUUGGCACCACAGCCAGGGGUGGGCAGUGGGCACAGCCCCUGGCUUUGAUCACAGCCCAGGUGGCCACAAGCCCCAGGGCAGCGAUGGGCUCUGGGGACACAUCUCUGGGUGUCCUGCCCAUGGGGCCAGCACAGUGCCAGGGAUGCUGCUGGCACCCCGGGCUGCCCCAGCUCAUCCCUGCGGCCCUGCCCUUCUCCCGCCGCCAGGAGCGGCCCUUUCAUCUCCGGGGAGGUACAAAUGGAGCUGUCAGAUGCCAUCAGCCCCGCGAUAUGACAGGUUGUGGGGCCGGGGCCCCUCGAACAGAGCAGCCUUGUCUGUCAGAGCCGCCUGACACUCCCCAUAAUGGCCAGAUGGAUGAGACUCUGAAAGUAGGGCCCGGCGUGUUUUCAACUCUAUUUUGGGUGAAAACACUUCUUGAAAGAUCUUGAAAGGAGCUGGCAGUUUAGUAGUUCAAAUGAUUAAUGAGCACUGGCUCUGGCGGGUGGAUUUCUCGCGCCGUGCCAGCAGCUGGGCCGCUGCAGCGGGCCAAGACACGCCGCGCUCCCCCGGCCCCGCUCCCAGCCCCCCGUCCUUCCCGGAAAUGACACCGAGGCGACAGGCCCUGCAUAUGGAAAAAGUUAAAUAUAAAUUACUGCUGAAAGAGGCCUUGCUGAGCGGAGUUAGUUAAAGAUGUUUAUGGAUUCAGAAACACGGGCCUGCAUAUGUAUUUAGGGAUGACAAAUGUGAUUCAAUAAGUCAGGAAUUUCUCCGUGGGCUGAGGCGGGACCCGCGCGGCGCGGGCGCUGCUCUGGGCUCGGCAGCUCAGUGCCAUAAAUCCUGCAGGCAGGCUCCUCGCUCCUUCCCGGCCUGCUCGGGAUUCAUUCUCGCCUUUUCCUUGGAUCUGACCGAGUCACGGGAGACGUGACUGGGAUGUGUUUGGGAUGUGACAGCCCUGAUCCCUCCACGGCUGUCCCCUGGGACGGGUUGGGGGGGCUUGGGAAAACACACGGGGCACUGGGGACCACGGCACGUCCCUGUCCCUGGGCUCUCUGUCCCCCCCAGCGUCGCUCUGGGAGCAGCUGAGCCCUUCAGGACUGUCAGCAGACGAUCAACGACCCACAGCUCCAGAGCUGCCCAAUUGCAAGUUUGGGGUUUGACCUGGUGCUUAACGAGUCCGGCCCCAAAUCUGCAGCCCCUUCAUGUGGGCAGCUGGGGGGGUCUCCUGGAGCCUGGGGAGCACCCACCCAAACUGCCCCCUGUUCCUGCUGCUCUUGGGGUGCACAUCAGGGACCACAACAUGCUGAAGCAGGAAACCCCAAAACUAAACUCCAGCUGCGGUGGUGGGGGCCUGGCAGGGGUGCCUGGUCCAUGAUGGGGGUGCCAGGUCCAUGGUGGGGGUCCCAGGUUCAUGGCAGGGGUGCCAGGUCCAUGGCAGGGAUGCCCCAGGUCCAUGGCGGGGGUGCCAGGUCCAUGGUGGGGGUGCCAGGUCCAUGGCAGGGGUGCAGGUCCAUGGUGGGGGUGCCCCAGGUCCAUGGCAGGGGUGCCAGGUCCAUGGCAGGGUGCUGGAUUUGGGGUGACAACCCCAGCAGAGCUGCAGCAGUGGGCAGUGCAGGAACCACCCCCUUGGCUCCCCUCAUCCCACACCUCUGUGAGGCUCAGAGGGAAAUGCCUUUUGGGGGGUCAGCGCCCGGCCAGGCCUUGGACCCACGUCCACAUUCCUUUGUCCUGAUUUUAUUCGUUAGCAACAUUUGGCCUGGAUAUGGAGACAGCUAAUGAGGGACGGAGUUUAUUGCAGUUUGAUUUUUCUGUUAAAACAAUACAAUAAAAUAAAUGCACUUGGAAA